UUUUUUUGUGAUUAAACAUGUAGCACAGAAAUGGCAGGAAAUUUAAUUUAAGUAAACUUAGUGAUGAAGAGUUGCUCCAGUUAAUGGAAUCAGUUGCAAUUGACGAGGAUGAUAGUGAUUUUAACAGUGACGAUGAAUUGGACGACCGUGAUUAUAUGUCUGAUGAAAUCUCUCCGGAAGAUGGGCAUGCUAUUUCUGCGUGAAUUCGGGAAAUGAAUGAAGCAACUGAUUAAUUUAUACAAAUCACCGAUAUGUCCUUGAAUAUAAGUUCAAUUGAUGAUAUACCUGUAGGAUCAUCAACGUUUACUGAAAUACCUGAAGCAUCUUCUUCUACCGCAGCAAGGUCAUUGACAGCAAUACAUUUCAAAACCAAAAAAGAUCGCGAUUUCCAUUACCAAUCUUGGAAACUACUGGUCCCUCAGUUGUUCCCUCUUCUGGUGGUUUUACAGGUUCAGGUAUUGAAAAUAUCUCGAAAAGUGCAAAUGAUUUUUUAAAUAUUAUUUGGCGAAACAAAAAUAUGCGUUUGCAUGUGAAUGAAGUGGCCUUCCGCGGCAACUCAUGGUUACCAUCGUGAAUCAGAAAGCUUGACACACCGAUGGAGAUGUUCUGCUACUUUUUUACAAAAGAACUAGUUAUAUUGGUUGUGGAUGAAACAAAUCGAGCAGAUUAUUAUGAAAACGUCAACAGCCAGUUUAAGAUCGACGCUGAAGGAAUUUUUAAAUACAUUGGCGUACUCAUUUAUAUGCCCGUUUACCUUUAUCCGAAUUUGGAGAGCUAUUGGGGUAAAAAUGCUUUCACUCCAAUUCAAGAAUCAAUGACUGUCUUUUAGAGAUAAAAGCGAGAGGAUUGAAAAAGGUAAACCAGGAUAUGAUCCCUUGUUCGUCUUGUGUGACUCCACUGGAUUUGCGUAUCGCUUGAAAGUCUAUAACGCUGGCGAUAACAUCAUUUUACCAGGUCAGCCGGAUCUUGGAAGUACUGCAAAUGUAGCCGUACAACUAUCACAAACAAUACCUGAUUUUGCUCAUCACAUUCUCUACUUCGACAAUUUCUACACAUCCUUACCUUUGUUGGUAUAUUUCAAGCUUCCCUUGGAUAAGGAUGUAAAGAACGAAGAAACGAGGAUACUCAAUUGAGUACGUUGGGGCUGCAAAUGGUCUCGAUAUUAACACGGUUUUGUGGAAAGACAACAAGACAGUGCGAUUGGCAUCAACUUACGUUGGUUUCAGCCAUUUAAAAGAGAAAAUGAAAACGAGUAAUCGGCCAAAGUUGCACGCUACGAUAGAUAACAAAAGCAGCAUAUAAAAGUAGAUUGCUCCCAAAUUAUACGGGAAUAUAAGAGCCAUAUGGGGGGAGUAGACUUAAUGGAUGGACCGUUAUCAUAUCCACGCAAAUACUCGAAAUCCGAUAACGCGCCUUUUUUAUCAUUUCGUGGAUGUGGCUUCGACUAAUUCAUAUAUUUUGUAUCGACGUCUGCAUUUAGAAAAUUGCAGCAACAAUCUAUCUGCACAAGAUGACAAGCUGUUAAAGUUACCCGAGUUCCGUGAAGAAAUUGCUGCUUGUCUUGUCGCUUACAAACUCAAUCGUCCUGCUGGUCAGCCAAGUUUCACACCAUGAAACACCCGCAGGAAAGAAAUUUAAUGUAGGGAAAAGAGCAGAACAACCAGUCGGGGAUGUCCGCUUUGAUCAGUAUGAUCACUUUCCCAUUUGGCUUCCUACAGAUGGUGGAAAAAGAAAAUGUAAAUUGUGCCUAAGUCCAGAAACGCAGUGUUUUUGUUCCAAAUGUAAACUCAAUUUAUGCUGCUGGACUACUAAAACUGUUUUUUUUUUUACUAUCACCAAAAAAACUAAUAAACUAUGUUAUUCGAAUUCCCCUAGUUAUUGAAAUUCUUCUUUUGUUUUUCUUUUCUUUUGAAAUAAAAUGAAGUUUUAAUUAAAACCACACCUA
rnacentral:lncRNA from 1 species